GACGAACGCUGGCGGCGUGCUUAACACAUGCAAGUCGAACGGUGAAGCGCCUUCCUUUUUGGUGGGUGUGGAUGAGUGGCGAACGGGUGAGUAACACGUGAGUAACCUGCCCCCUUCUUCUGGAUAACCGCAUGAAAGUGUGGCUAAUACGGGAUAUUCUGGGUCUGUCGCAUGAUGGGUCUGGGAAAGAUAUUGUUUCGGUGGGGGAUGGGCUCGCGGCCUAUCAGCUUGUUGGUGGGGUGAUGGCCUACCAAGGCGGUGACGGGUAGCCGGCCUGAGAGGGUGGACGGUCACACUGGGACUGAGACACGGCCCUGACUCCUACGGGAGGCAGCAGUGGGGAAUAUUGCACAAUGGGCGCAAGCCUGAUGCAGCGACGCCGCGUGAGGGAUGGAGGCCUUCGGGUUGUGAACCUCUUUCGCCAGUGAAGCAGGCCUGCCUCGUUUGUGGGUGGGUUGACGGUAGCUGGAUAAGAAGCGCCGGCUAACUACGUG
rnacentral:rRNA from 1 species